rnacentral:rRNA from 1 species
AUUGAACGCUGGCGGCAGGCUUAACACAUGCAAGUCGAGCGGAGAUGAGGUGCUUGCACCUUAUCUUAGCGGCGGACGGGUGAGUAAUGCUUAGGAAUCUGCCUAUUAGUGGGGGACGACAUUCUGAAAGGAAUGCUAAUACCGCAUACGCCCUACGGGGGAAAGCAGGGGAUCUUCGGACCUUGCGCUAAUAGAUGAGCCUAAGUCGGAUUAGCGAGUUGGUGGGGUAAAGGCCUACCAAGGCGACGAUCUGUAGCGGGUCUGAGAGGAUGAUCCGCCACACUGGGACUGAGACACGGCCCAGACUCCUACGGGAGGCAGCAGUGGGGAAUAUUGGACAAUGGGCGGAAGCCUGAUCCAGCCAUGCCGCGUGUGUGAAGAAGGCCCUUUGGUUGUAAAGCACUUUAAGCGAGGAGGAGGCUACCUGGAUUAAUACUCUAGGAUAGUGGACGUUACUCGCGGAAUAAGCACCGGCUAACUCUGUGCCAGCCGCCGCCGUAA